GCCAAUACUAGCCCCAAGCAUAAUCAACACUAAUAACAAACCAACACACACACACACUAAACCAUUUACCUAUACAAAGUAUAGGCGAUAGAAAUUUUAAUCUGGCGCUAUAGAUAUAGUACCGCAAGGGAAAGAUAGAUAAACCACCUAAGCACAAAACAGCAAGGACUAGCCCCUGUACCUUUCGCAUAAUGGAUUAGCUAGAAACAAUUUCACGAAGAGAACUAUAAGCCAAAUUCCCCGAAACCAGACGAGCUACCCAAAAACAGCUAAAAGAGCGCACCCAUCUAUGUAGCAAAAUAGUGGGAAGAUUUCUGGGUAGAGGUGACAAGCCUACCGAGCCUGGUGAUAGCUGGUUAUCCAAGACAGAAUCUUAGUUCAACCUUAAGCUUACCCACAGAACUUCCUAAUCCCCCUGUAAGCUUGAUUGUUAGUCUAAAGAGGGACAGCUCUUUAGACACUAGGAAAAAACCUUACGGAGAGAGUAAAACCCCUUAACUGCCAUAGUUGGCUUAAAAGCAGCCAUCAAUUAAGAAAGCGUUCAAGCUCAACAUUAACGAUCUCAAAAAUACCAAACACACAACUGAACUCCUCACAUCACAUUGGAUUAAUCUAUCACCAUAUAGAAGCAAUAAUGCUAGUAUAAGUAACAUGAAUACUUUCUCCACCGCAUAAGCCUAAAUCGGACCGAAAGCCUCACCGACACUUAACAGCCAGGCACAGCAAACACAAACAAGCCCAUGCUACCUUCACUGUUAACCCAACACCGGCAUGCCUCAAGGAAAGGUUAAAAAAAGUAAAAGGAACUCGGCAAACUCAAACCCCGCCUGUUUACCAAAAACAUCACCUCUAGCAUUACUAGUAUUAGAGGCACUGCCUGCCCGGUGACACACGUUUAACGGCCGCGGUACCCUGAC
rnacentral:rRNA from 1 species